UGUGGGCGGCGCUACCAUGCAGUCGAACGGUAACAGAAAGCAGCUUGCUGCUUUGCUGACGAGUGGCGGACGGGUGAGUAAUGUCUGGGAAACUGCCUGAUGGAGGGGGAUAACUACUGGAAACGGUAGCUAAUACCGCAUAACGUCGCAAGACCAAAGAGGGGGACCUUAGGGCCUCUUGCCAUCGGAUGUGCCCAGAUGGGAUUAGCUAGUAGGUGGGGUAACGGCUCACCUAGGCGACGAUCCCUAGCUGGUCUGAGAGGAUGACCAGCCACACUGGAACUGAGACACGGUCCAGACUCCUACGGGAGGCAGCAGUGGGGAAUAUUGCACAAUGGGCGCAAGCCUGAUGCAGCCAUGCCGCGUGUAUGAAGAAGGCCUUCGGGUUGUAAAGUACUUUCAGCGGGGAGGAAGGGAGUAAAGUUAAUACCUUUGCUCAUUGACGUUACCCGCAGAAGAAGCACCGGCUAACUCCGUGCCAGCAGCCGCGGUAAUACGGAGGGUGCAAGCGUUAAUCGGAAUUACUGGGCGUAAAGCGCACGCAGGCGGUUUGUUAAGUCAGAUGUGAAAUCCCCGGGCUCAACCUGGGAACUGCAUCUG
rnacentral:rRNA from 1 species